GAUGAAGAACGUAGCGAAAUGCGAUACGUAAUGUGAAUUGCAGAAUUCAGUGAAUCAUCGAGUCUUUGAACGCACAUUGCGCCCCCUGGUAUUCCGGGGGGCAUGCCUGUCCGAGCGUCAUUGCUGCCCUCAAGCACGGCUUGUGUGUUGGGCCUCCGUCCUCCUCCCGGGGGACGGGCCCGAAAGGCAGCGGCGGCACCGCGUCCUGUCCUCGAGCGUAUGGGGCUUCGUCACCCGCUCUUGUAGGCCCGGCCGGCGCUUGCCGACACAUCAAUCUUUUUUCCAGGUUGACCUCGGAUCAGGUAGGGAUACCCGCUGAACUUAAGCAUAUCAAUAAGCGGAGGA
rnacentral:misc_RNA from 1 species